GGUGGCACAGUGGUUAAGCGUUCAGCUGCUAACUGAAACGUGGGUGGUUCAAAUCCAUCAGCCA
rnacentral:tRNA from 1 species